UGACUGGUUACCUUCUCUGCUGCUGUUGUUAGAAGACAAGUGCUGGCAAGCUCUGGUGCAGGAGGGGCUGCUCCGUGUCACUCACUCCCUGCAGGAUGAGGUCUUUUCCCUUCUGGGGCAGCCAGAGCCUGAUGCCAAUGGGCAGUGCCAGGAAGGUAACCUUCAACAGCUGCUCUUAUGGGGCGUCCGGCACAACCUUUCCUGGGAUGUCCAGGCGCUGGGCUUUCUGUCUGGAUCACCACCCCACCCCUGCCCUCCUUCACUGCCUGAGCACAGGUGUGCCUCUGCCCAGAGCUUCUCAGCCCUCAGCCCACAUCAGCCCACGCCAACGGCGAGCCAUCACUGUGGAGGCCCUCUGUGAGAACCACUCAGGCCCAGCACCACCCUACAGCAUUUCCAACUUCUCCAUCCACUUGCUCUGCCAACACACCAAGCCUGUCACUCCACAGCCCCCUCCCAGCACCAUUGCCAUCUGCCAGACAGCUGUGUGGUAUGCAGUCUCAUGGGCACCAGGUGCCCAAGGCUGGCUACAGGCCUGUCAUGACCAGUUUCCUGAUGAGUUUUGAAUGCGAUCUGUAGUAACCUCUCCUUUUCAGCCCUGUCUGGCUCCAACCGCCGCCUGGUGAAGCGGCUCUGUGCUGGCCUGCUCCCACCCCCUACCAGCUGCCCUGAAGGCCUGCCCCAUUCCCCCUCACCCCAGACAUCUUUAGGGGCUGCUUCUUGGAGAAUGAAACUCUGUGGCCUGAGUGACUGUAUGGGGAGGCAAGUCUACAGGCUGUGCCCCCCAGCAACCAGGCUUGGGUCCAGCAUGUGUGCCAGGGCCCCACCCCAGAUGUCACUGCUUCCCCACCCUGCCACAUUGGACCCUGUGGGGAACGCUGCCCAGAUGGGGCAGCUUCCUGGUGAUGAUCUGUGCCAAUGACACCAUGUAUGAUGCCCUGGUGCCCUUCUGGCCUUGGCUAGCAGGCCAGUGCAGGAUAAGUCGUGGGGGCAAUGACACUUGCUUCCUAGAAGGGCUGCUGGGCCUUCUGCCCUCUCUGCCACCACUGGGACCAUCCCCACUCUGUCUGACCCCUGGCCCCUUCCUCCUUGGCAUGCUAUCCCAGUUGCCACGCUGUCUCUGUGGCAGCUGUGCCAGCCCUUGCUCACCCCACACGCCUACACUAUCUCCUCCACCUGUUGACCUUCCUCUUGGGUCCAGGGGCUGGGGCGCUGUGGCCCAGGGGAUGCUGGGUUGGGUCCUACUGCUCUCCAGUCUCCCAGACAACUGCUCCUUCUGGGAUGCCUUUUUGCCCAGAGGGCCGGCAUAGUGUGCUGCGGACGAUUGGGGAAUACCUGGAACAAGAGGAGGAGCAGCCAACCCCACCAGGCUUUGAACCCACUGUCAACCCCAGCUCUGGUAUAAGCAAGAUGGAGCUGCUGGCCUGCUUUAGUGUGAGUGCUCUGCCAGAGGGAAAGCUCCUAGAACAGUGAGAAGGCCCUCCAGGGGAAUUCCUCGUGUACUCAGAGGCAGUAGUGUGGGGUAGUAGUUGAAGCACACAGCUCUAGAGUCAGACAGGCUUGGAUUCAUAUCUUGGUUCUGUGACCAGCCUUAAAUGAGUUAUUUAACUUCUCUGAGCAAUAUUUUCUCGUCUCAUUUAUAAACUAGGGAUGAUACUGGUAUAUGAGAUAAUACAUGCUGUGGGCUUAGCACAGUGCAUGAUACACAAAUGUGCAAUAAAUAUUACCUUGUUAUUCUUUGGGGCUCUUUGACUCUCCCGCUUUCUGCACCAGAAAGAAAAGGAUCAAGUUAGAGGACUCUUGAUUUUUUCCUAGAGAGUGAGAAUUGGAGGCUGGCAGAAUACAGGAAGGUAAGGCAGGAAUGAGAAAGAUUCAGGGACACUACCAAUCAGAAAACUUUGGUUCUAGGUUCAACUGUGCCACACAUUAGUGUGAUCUUAGGCAAGCAAUUUAAUUUAGUUUUCUGGGCUUCAGUUUUACUCUGUUGCAUGGAAGGGUGGGAAUAUGUUAAACACCAUAAUUCAUUCACUGAGUGCCUAUUAUAUGCCAGGCACUUUACUGGGUAGGUUCUGUAGGAUAUAUAAAGAUUCCUUACUCCAUUUUGGGGCUCCAUUUUCAAGCCCUGGGCCCAGUAAAAUGGAAUUAGAUAGUCUCAUAGUAUUUGGUUCAGGUCUGCAGGUAUUAAUUGAUCCAACUAUGGACCUGGCAUGGGAGAGGGUACAAGAGAAAUUAGAGAUAUGAUCCUGGACCUAAAAGAGCUUAAUAUCUGAAGAAUCACAGUUGAGAUGAAGGA
ensembl:lincRNA